UAGCUAUAGUUUGAGUGUUUACAAUUCAUAGCCACUGUUUGAGAUGCUAAGCAAAAACAAAUAAAUUUGCCUCUCUAGUCUCUCCUCAAUCUUGCUCGCGUCAGUUCAUGUCUCUCUCUUUCUUUACCUCUCUGUGUAUUUUGUACUUUCACCCUUCUUUCUUUGUAUUUCGAUAUUUUUUGAGGUUUUAAUCGAUUGUAUUUGUUGUAUUUAUAUGUGCAUUUUGGUUGUAUCCUCUCCCCCCCCCCCCUUCCCUCACAUCCCCUUUCUUUAUUUUGUAUUUCCACCUCUUUCUUUAUUUGUAUAUUUUAUAAGUUGUCAGGCGAUUGUGUUUGUUGUAUUCAUACAUGCAUUUAGGUUGUAUUCUGUAUUUUCACCUCUCUCUAUAUAAGUAUAUUUUUCUUGAGGUGUCAAGCGAUUGUAUUUGUUAUAUUCAUAUGUGCAUUUAGGUUAGUAUUCUGUAUUUUCACCUCUUUCUCUGUAUUUUUAUAUUAUUUAAGGUGUUAAGACGAUUGUAUUGUUGUUUUAAUACGUGUAAUUAGGUUGUAUUCUCUCUCUCUCUCUCCCUCCCUCCCUCCCUCCUUUUCUAUUCUAUAUUUCCACCUCUUUCUAUAUAUAUUUAAACUUUUUAUGUGUCAUGCGACUUUAUUUGUUGUAUUUAUCCGUGCAUUUACAUUUUGUUCUGUAUUUCCACUCUCUUAGGCGAUUGUAUUUGUUGUAUUCAUGAUAUGUGUAUUUAGGUUGUAGUCUCCCCCCNNNNNNNNNNNNNNNNNNNNNNNNNNNNNNNNNCCCCCACACCCUCUAUUAUAUAUGUAUUUGCACCUCUCUCUCUAUAUUUCUAUAUGUUUAGGUGUCAUGUAACUGUAUUUGUUGUAAUUAUUCGUGUAUUUACGUUGUAUUAUGUAUUUCCACUCGCUUCCUCUAUACUACUAUAUUUUUUUGAGUCAAACGAUUGUAUUUGUUGUAUUCUUUGUGCAUGCAUGUGGGUUGUAUUCUCUCUCCGUGUGUGUAUUCUAUAUUUCCACCUCUACGUUUUUAUAUUUUUUGAGGUGGUAGGUAGGGUAUAUUUGUUAUAUUCAUAUGUGUUAGGUUGUAUUGGCGAAUACUGGUGGUAUCAACAAGUACAUUUUGUAUUGACAAAUACAAUCCACAUGUAUAUAAAGAUACAAACAAUAAAAGAUACAAGAAAUUGUAUUCAUUCACUCUAAUUUCACUUAUGAAUUCAUCGCUCUUGUAUUCAUUUAUUCUAAUUUCACUUGUAUUUGUUCACACAUUUGGGUUGUAUCAACAAAUACAAUACGGGUGUAUACAAAGACAUAAAAUAAAACACAAAAUAUGUAGGAGAUUAUAUUCAUUCGCUCUUGUAUCCAUUCACUUGUAUAUCAUUUAUAUUUAUUUGUGAACAUUCAAAAGUACAAGUGAUUGUAGUAGUUGUAGUCAUACAUGUUUUUAGGUUGAAUGCUAUAUUUUCAACUCUAUCUCUGUAUUUCUAUAUAUUUUGAGGUUUAGGCGAUUAAAGUUAUUGUAUUAAUACGUGCAUUUAGAUUGUAUUCUAUAUUUCUAUAUCAUGAGGUGCAUGUCAUAAAAUCUUUAAAAAAUUAGACAGAAAACACAUUUAUAUAGUUAUUUAUUUAUUGUAGGUCUACAAUAAUGUCUUAGUUGAGUGAUUUUAUUGAUACAAAACAAAGUUCAAUGACUUUUCUAAAUAAAUUUCCAAAGUUGAGUGACCAUUUGAGAUAUUAACCCAAUAAAAAAAUACACGUCAAAUGCACAAAAUACAAUCAACGUUUCAAAUCAGUGAUACGCUCAUGCUAGAAAUUUGUCAAGGAUAUGUUUACUUUGAGAUAAAUGUUUCUAGCAAUAUUGUGAUACACUCAUCCUAUUUGUGACUCCAUAUCCUCUUUAAGGUUAACUCUGUGUUGACAUUUUCCAAAGAAGCUAGUUUACUUCAUUGUGAGUUGCGACUCAAAUUGAAUUAUUUCUUGUAGUAUUUGAUUGGGGAAGUCAGAAAAAUGAUCAUCGAUUCUACUGUACCAAGCCCUUGGAGCUUGCUUUAAUCCAUAGAGGGCCUUCUUUCAGCAAGUAGUCUACGUCUUCCUAUCCUUUCGCAACAAACCCUUUAGGCUGCUCAACAUAGAUUUCUUCCUACAAGAAUCUAUUCAAAAAAAUCUUAUUUAACAUCCAAUUGGUAGAUUUUUCAACCAUUUUGUGCUGCAAUUGUCAAAAGAAGUCUAAUUGUGUCAAGUCUUGCUAUAGGGGUAAAUGUUUCAGAAAAAUCUACAUUAAAAAAACUGAGCAUAUCCCUGCACCAUAAGCCUAGCUUUGUGUUUGUUCACUGAACCAUAUGCAUUUAGCUUAAUUCUGUAAAUUCAUUUAACAUCAAUAACCUUUCUGUCUAGAGGCCUUUCUACCACCUUCUAUGUGUCAUUUUUUUCGAUCAUGAUUAGCUCCUCCUGCAUUGCAACUUUUUAUUUCUUGUCUCUUUUAGAUUUACAUAUUCAGCAGGUUCAAAUACAGCUACAUUACAUCUUUGAUAGAUAUCUGAAAGUGAUCUGGUUCCUCGAACUAGAGGAUGAUCAACUCAUUCCUCAAAAUUGUGAAACUCAGUAGCUUCUCUUUCUUGUUUUUCUUCAUCCUAAUCUCAUGUUUUUGUUCUACAAAUUCCACAUCUCUACUUACAAAAAAAAAUUCAAUCUGUGGUUGGAAAAUUUUAUAAGCUUUUGACUGCAAACUAUAGCCAAUGAGAAUUCUAGGUUCUACCUUCUUGUCCAGUUUAUCCCUUUUUAGCUGAAGUAUGUGAGAAAAAUAUAGACAAUAAAAAAUCUUGAGAUUCUUUAGUAAAAGUUUAUACCCAUACCAAGCUUCAAAAGGUGUUUAACCAUUCAUUGCUUUUGUAGGCAGUCUAUUCAACAAAAACACAUCAGUAUUGGCUGCCUCUGCCCAAAACUUUUUGGGAAGCUCUUUCUCGUGCAACAUAUAUCUUGACAUCUCCAUGAUAGUCCUAUUCUUCUCUUCACUUACCCUAUUUUGCUGGGGAGUAUAUGGAGUAGUAAGUUGAUGCUCUAUUUCAACAACUUCACAAAAAAAUUGAACUGAUCUGAAGUGUACUCAGUCCCAUAAUCUGAUCUGAGCACUUGUAAUUUGCAGUCUCUUUGAUUUCCCAUCGAGGCUUUGAGUUUUCAAAAAACUUCAUAUUCCUCCUAUUUGAAUCUUAAGAAGUAUAUCCAACACAUCCUUGUUAGAUCAUCAAUAAAAAUUAUGCAUACUUGCUUCCUUUCAAUGAUGGAGUUUUUUAGGGGGUUCCAAGAUCUGUAUGAAUCAACUGUAAUUUUUGAGUCGCUCUCCAAGUUGAUUUUGAGAAUGUCAACCUUGUCUCUAACCAAAUUGACAUACCUCACAACUUGGGAGUUCCUCUUCACAUAGAGGUAAACUUUUUACCAAUCCUUUUUUUUGUAUAUACAAAAACGCUCUGUGGUAGAAGAGACCCAACUGUUUGUGUCAAGUUUCUGCAACAGUAAACUUACUUGAAACACUAUAAGAAAAGGGUGAAUUACAUGGGGAUUUUCCUAGGGAUUAGUAUGAAAAUUUGCAGGAAAAUAAGUUUCCUGCGAAUUUUCAUACAAAUCCCUACGAAAAUCCCCAUGUAAUACACAGUUUUCCUAUAGUGAAAAACUUUUUGUUCUUUGUCAUUGGAUUCAAGGAAAAGCUUUUACCCUACAUUUUAAUUCUAAAUAGUUCCUUACCGGCCACUUGGAUCGAUUAUCAGACACGCCUUAUAUUCAAAAAAUAAUUUGAAUUUAUUUUCAAGCAGGUGUCCAACACUUAACAAAUUCUGGUCAAGUUCAGAAACAAACAAAACUUCACAAAUAAGUUUUGUAACUAUAUAACUCUCAAUAGCUACAGUCUCCUUUCCUUUUGCAAAGAGGUAUUCUUCAUUUCCAAUCCUGACUCUUGAUGUUGUUAUACUAUCAAGCCUUUUGAAAAGCUUUUUAUCACUAGUCAUGUGAUUUGUAUAAACACUAUUAAUAAGUCUACUGUCACUUGAAAUACUAGAUGAAAAAUAUGAUGCAAUAAAGAGUUGUUCUUCCUAAUGCUGAUUUGCAACUUGAGCUUCUCCUUAUUGCUGCGGUCCUUUUUUUCUUGCAGAUGAUCUCAGCAUGCCUAAGUUUUUGAAUUACUGCUGAUUUGCAAACUAUACCCGAUGCUCUUUGCCUGUGUUCAUUUAAAUGCUUGAUGUGGCAAUAAAAUAUAUCCAGAUCAAAUAAAGUUACUAGCUUCUAUAUUAGACGGCUUGGCGUUUGUUAAGGUGAUUAUAAAUGGUAAUGUAGUGUUCCACAUUAUUUGGUCCCUAUACAAAAUAUAGGUAUUUCAUAUUACUUAUUUAAUUUAAAAGAUUAAGAGAGUUUUAUUAUAUUUUUCUCUUUCUAUCUCUAGUAUCAAAUAGAGAAAAUUUUAAAAAUAAUUAUCGUUUGGUCAUUAGAGAUUUUUAGCUAUAGUUUGAGUGUUUACAAUUCAUAGCCACUGUUUGAGAUGCUAAGCAAAACAAAUAAAUUUGCCUCUCUAGUCUCUCCUCAAUCUUUCUCGCGUCUCUUCAUGUCUCUCUCUUUCUUUACCUCUCUGUGUAUUUUGUACUUUCACCCUUCUUUCUUUGUAUUUCGAUAUUUUUUGAGGUAUUAAUCGAUUGUAUUUGUUGUAUUCAUAUGUGCAUUUUGGUUGUAUCCUCUCUCUUUCCCCUGCUCUCACUACCUCUCUUUAUUUUGUAUUUCCACCUCUCUCUUUAUUUGUAUAUUUUAUAAGUUGUCAGGUGAUUAUGUUUGGUGUAUUCAUACGUGCAUUUAGGUUGUAUUAUGUAUUUUCACCUCUCUCUAUAUUUGUAUAUUUUUUUGAGGUGUCAAACGAUUGUAUUUGUUAUAUCCGUACGUGCAUUUAGGUUGUAUUAUGUAGUUUCACCUCUUCUGCUAUAUUUCUAUAUUUUUUGAGUCAAGUGAUUGCAUUUGUUGUAUUCUCUGUGCAUGCAUGUAGGUCGUAUCCUCUCUCCGUGCGUAUUCUAUAUUUCCACCUCUACGUUUUUAUAUUUUUUGAAGUGGUAGGCAGGGU
rnacentral:lncRNA from 1 species